AUUAUAAUCCGACCAAACCAUAGAAAAAUGCCUGACUUUCGUUUUACACUUCUAGCGCCUACAUUGACAAGGGAUUGAACACACCGUUGAAACUGUUUCUUCCUCUGGGAGAAUUCUGCUUCGCACCGGUUUAAAAAUGGAACAACAUCAACAACUUACUUUACACGACGAAUUCUUAUAAUUAAGUCCGAUUUCAACGCAACCAUUUUAGCGCACGCACAAUAUGGUGCCAAUCUCAAUCAUUAUCCUCCGCCUGCUUCUGUUAAAACCUUGCAGUCAUGAUCACCAUCAUCACCACAAAAAUUUAGUUUGAGAUACAACAUUCGGGCAUUGUUCAAUCUAUGGUAUCCAUCAAACAUAUCGGCCCAAAAUCUCUAAGAUGCUGGACAUUACUUCGUCUGAAUAUAAACAGCUUCGUUUGAAAAUGAUACCUAAUUGUAAUCAGCGAUCUUCAUCAAGCCAUCAACACCACAACAAGAAAAUCGGCCCUUUUCAGGGCCACCAAGUGUU